rnacentral:rRNA from 1 species
CGGGGCUUUUCCGGGAGUGACUGGGCGUAAGAGUUGCGUAGGUGGUCUGUUAAGUGAAUAGUGAAAUCUGGUGGCUCAACCACACAGACUAUUAUUCAAACUGGCAGACUCGAGAGUAGCAGAGGUAACUGGAAUUUCCUGUGUAGGAGUGAAAUCCGUAGAUAUAGGAAGGAACACCAAUGGCGUAGGCAGGUUACUAGGCUAUUUCUGACACUGAGGCACGAAAGCGUGGGGAGCGAACCGGAUUAGAUACCCGGGUAGUCCACGCCGUAAACGAUGGAUACUAGCUGUUGGAGGUAUCGACCCCUUCAGUAGCGAAGCUAACGCGUUAAGUAUCCCGCCUGUGGAGUACGGUCGCAAGACUAAAACAUAAAGGAAUUGACGGGGACCCGCACAAGCGGUGGAGCGUGUUCUUUAAUUCGAUGCUAAACGAAGAACCUUACCAGGGUUUGACAUCCUUGGAAUUUCUGUGAAAGCAGAAAGUGCUUUAUUGAGCCAAGUGACAGGUGAUGCAUGGCCGUCGUCAGCUCGUGUCGUGAGAUGUUUGGUUAAGUCCAUCAACGAGCGCAACCCUUGUGAAUAGUUGAAUUUUUCUAUUCAAACUGCCUCGGUAACGGGGAGGAAGGAGGGGACGACGUCUGGUCAGUAUUUCCCUUACACCCUGGGCUAGAAACGCGCUACAAUGGCUGGUACAAUGCGCAGCGAAGUCGCGAGAUGGAGCAAUCGCAUCAAAGCCAGUCCCAGUUCGGAUUGUAGGCUGAAACUCGCCUGCAUGAAGUUGGAAUCGCUAGUAAUCGCAGAUCAGCAAGCUGCGGUGAAUACGUUCCCGGGUCUUGUACACACCGCCCGUCAAACCAUGAAAGUCACCAACACCCGAAGUCCGAUUCGUCGGCCUAAGGUGGGGGGGAUGAUUGGGGUUAAGUCGUAACAAGGUAACCAAGUCGUAACAAGGUAACCAUAGAGUUUGAUCCUGGCUCAGAUAAGUCGUAACAAGGUAACC